rnacentral:rRNA from 1 species
UACGUAGGGUGCAAGCGUUGUCCGGAAUUUAUUGGGCGUAAAGAGCUCGUAGGCGGUUUGUCGCGUCUGCUGUGAAAACCCGAGGCUCAACCUCGGGCCUGCAGUGGGUACGGGCAGACUAGAGUGCGGUAGGGGGAGAUUGGAAUUCCUGGUGUAGCGGUGGAAUGCGCAGAUAUCAGGAGGAACACCAAUAGCGAAGGCAGCUCGCUGGGACGGUACUGACGCUAAGGCGCGAAAGCGUGGGGGAGCGAACAGG